GCCGAUGGAAUGGGUAAUCAAUCAAUAUUUUUGGAAGGUCAUAUUAGGAAUGACAAUUUUUGCAUUACUUAUUCUACUGUUACUUCGUCUUUACGAUGACAAUUUAAUGACGUAAAUCCAUUAGGUUCACACGAUGUAACAGGCAAUGUUGUAAAUAUUUGAAGGAGCUUAAAAACAUUUGGAAAUAGGUCUGUAUUGCACUUAUCAAGAUCAUUAAGAACAAUUUGUACACUUAGUUUUUCUAAAUGUGUAGCCAUAACUUUACCUCUGUUUCAAUAACUUCUUGAUCAAUAUCAUUCGAAUAAAACUCACUUAAAUAGUUAAA